GAAGCCGCCGGGGCCGCCUAGAGAAGAGGCUGUGCUUCGGCGCUCCGGCUCCUCAGAGAGCCUCGGCUAGGUGUGGAAACAGGAAGAGAACUAGAACUGGAAGUAAAGCAUUGAAGAUGUGACUGAAUUGCUGCAAUCUCAUGAUCAAAUUUGAAUGGAUGAGGAGUUGCUUUUUAGGGAUGAGCAAAGAAAGUGGUUUCUCGAGAUGGAAUCUACUGGUUGCUCCUUGAGGGCAGGACAGUUCUUAUGGCUUUAUCCGUUGCGUAAGCACAGAGAGGUCUGCGAGGUCAAAACUAUUGUCAUGAUAGCAAGAUGCCUGUCUUUUUCAUUUAUUCUCACGGUGUGCAGAGGCUACAUGAUGUGUGAUGACAUCCUCAUUGAUGUUAAUGAAUGGUGCUAUACUUGAAUUUUCUAAGGUGUCAUUAGGUAGGUUUAGGUAUGCAUACUUGUUUUUAGAAAUUAUUUUUUUCCUUUUUCCCAUUUUUAGAAAUCAACUCAUUUUUUAGGUUAUGCCUUCAGUAAUCUUUGCAACCUCAAUAUUGUGUAAUGGUUACUUUAAAAUACUGUAGUUUUCUUUGUGCCUAAGUAUAAACAUAAGUACAUUUUGUUGUUUUGUUUGCAAUAGUGGUUUAAAUAUUUUCCCAAAAUAUCCAAAUUUAAAAAUUCUACAACUUUAGAAUUUAAUAAAUUUAUUCUAAAAUAUUUAUAUAUUUUUUCAUUUAAGAAUGGAUCGGCUUAAAAAGACUGCUUCUCAUUUACUUACUGGCUAUACCAUCUGUAUACUAAUAAAAAACAAGAUUUGAUUUGGAAGGACUGACUCAAACUAACGAAAAUAUGAAACCUGUCUUUCUGCUUUGGAGAUAUUUACCUAAUCAUGUUCUGCAGUAGAAUAAUUUAGUUCUUUUGUCUUUUUUUGGAGAUGAGGUCUUGCUGUGUUGCCCAGGCUAUUCACAGCUGCCAUCAUAGUGAACUACAGCCUGAAACUCCUGGGUUCAAGAGAUCCUUCUGCCUCAGCCUCCUGAGUAGCUGGAACUAUAGGCAUGCGCCACCAAGCCUGGGCUUUUAAAAAAAUUUUAAAAAGAAUUUUGAGACAGGAUCUUGCCAUGUUGCUCAGGCUAGUCUUCAACUCCUAGCCCUGAGUGAUCUUGCUUUGGGCCUCUCAAAAUGUUGAGUUAAUAGGCGUGAGCCACCAUACCCAGCCAAAAAUUUUUUUAGAGAUGGGAAUGGAAUGAUCUUGAAUAGUGUUGGUGCCACCUAUGUUGUGGCAUCAUUUUGAAACCAAUCAUUCAGAGUGCUUUUUUUGGUAAGGCAUUAUUUUUUAAUGCAGGUAUGCCACUACUGGGAAAAAAAAAAAAACAGGUUUUAAAGCUAGAAAUGAAAAGCUACUUAAGUAUCUUAAAGGAUAAGUUACUUUAUUAUACACUAGAAACAUACACAAUAGCUGAAAAACUUAAAAAAUCUCACACUGCUGAAUGUCUCUGCUGGCUGAAGUGUAAGUAAAAGAUCAUAGUAGUGCCGCUGUUGAGUGAUAAAGCAACUUGUCAUUAAAGAUGUGUGUGCAGACAUGGAUUCUGAGUUAAUAUCUCAUCUGUAGAAGUAUAUAUUUGUCCCUUGCUUUGGGAUUGGUUUCUGGACAGCACUCCCCCACCCUUGCUGGCCAUUUGCCAAGGACACCAAAACCCAAGGAUGUUGAAUUCCCUUUUAUAAAAUGGCGCUGUAUCUGCAUACAACUUACACACAUCCUCCCAUAUACUUUAAAUCAUUUCCAGAUUUCUUAUACUUCAUACAAUGUGAAUGCUAUAUAAAUAGUUGUUACAUUGUGUACUUAUAUUUGUACUAUUGUAUUAAAUAUUCUCAAAUAUUUUCA
rnacentral:lncRNA from 1 species